rnacentral:tRNA from 1 species
ACUUUUAAAGGAUAAAAGUCAUCCAC